rnacentral:rRNA from 1 species
UACAGAGGGUGCAAGCGUUGUUCGGAAUUACUGGGCGUAAAGCGCGUGUAGGCUGCAACGUAAGUCGGAUGUGAAAGCCCUUGGCUUAACCAAGGAAGUGCAUCCGAUACUGCGUCGCUUGAGUGUCGGAGGGGAUGGCGGAAUUCCCGGUGUAGAGGUGAAAUUCGUAGAUAUCGGGAGGAACACCUGUGGCGAAGGCGGCCAUCUGGACGAUAACUGACGCUGAGACGCGAAAGCGUGGGUAGCAAACAGGAUUAGAAACCCCCGUAGUCC